GGAAGGGGUGUAUUUAUUAGAUAAAAAACCAAUGCCCUUCGGGGCUUCUUGGUGAUUCAUGAUAACUAAACGGAUCGCAUGGCCUUGCGCCGGCGACGGUUCAUUCAAAUUUCUGCCCUAUCAACUUUCGAUGGUAAGGUAUUGGCUUACCAUGGUUUCAACGGGUAACGGGGAAUUAGGGUUCGAUUCCGGAGAGGGAGCCUGAGAAACGGCUACCACAUCCAAGGAAGGCAGCAGGCGCGCAAAUUACCCAAUCCCGACACGGGGAGGUAGUGACAAUAAAUAACAAUAUAGGGCUCUUUUGGGUCUUAUAAUUGGAAUGAGUACAAUUUAAAUCCCUUAACGAGGAACAAUUGGAGGGCAAGUCUGGUGCCAGCAGCCGCGGUAAUUCCAGCUCCAAUAGCGUAUAUUAAAGUUGUUGCAGUUAAAAAGCUCGUAGUUGAACCUUGGGCCUGGCUGGCAGGUCCGCCUCACCGCGUGUACUUGUCCGGCCGGGCCUUUCCUUCUGGAGAACCUCAUGCCCUUUACUGGGUGUGCUGGGGAACCAGGACUUUUAC
rnacentral:rRNA from 1 species